rnacentral:piRNA from 2 species
UCUUCAAGAAAGAGGUGAUGAACUACCGG